AACGAACGCUGGCGGCGCGUCUUAAGCAUGCAAGUCGAACGGUAAGGGAGAGCUUGCUCUCCCCUAGAGUGGCGGACUGGUGAGUAACGCGUGGGUGACCUGCCCUGAAGAUGGGGAUAGCUAGUAGAAAUAUUAGAUAAUACCGAAUGUGCUCAUUUACAUAAAGGUAAAUGAGGAAAGGAGCUACGGCUCCGCUUCAGGAUGGGCCCGCGUCCCAUUAGCUGGUUGGUGAGGUAAAGGCUCACCAAGGCAACGAUGGGUAUCCGGCCUGAGAGGGUGAACGGACACAUUGGGACUGAGAUACGGCCCAAACUCCUACGGGAGGCAGCAGCUAAGAAUCUUCCGCAAUGGACGAAAGUCUGACGGAGCGACGCCGUGUGAAUGAAGAAGGCCGAAAGGUUGUAAAAUUCUUUUGCAGAUGAAGACAUAAUCAUAGGAGGGAAUGCCUGUGAGAUGACGGUAAUCAUGCGAAUAAGCCCGGCUAAUUACGUGCCAGCAGCCGCGGUAACACGUAAGGGGCGAGCGUUGUUCGGAAUUAUUGGGCGUAAAGGGUAUGUAGGCGGUUAGGUAAGCCUGGUGUGAAAUCUACGAGCUCAACUCGUAAACUGCAUUGGGUACUGCUUGACUUGAAUCACGGAGGGGAAACCGGAAUUCCAAGUGUAGGGGUGGAAUCUGUAGAUAUUUGGAAGAACACCGGUGGCGAAGGCGGGUUUCUGGCCGAUGAUUGACGCUGAUAUACGAAGGUGCGGGGAGCAAACAGGAUUAGAUACCCUGGUAGUCCGCACAGUAAACGAUGUACACUAGGUGUCGGGGCAAGAGCUUCGGUGCCGACGCAAACGCAUUAAGUGUACCGCCUGGGAAGUAUGCCCGCAAGGGUGAAACUCAAAGGAAUUGACGGGGGCCCACACAAGCGGUGGAGCAUGUGGUUUAAUUCGAUGAUACGCGAGAAACCUUACCUGGGUUUGACAUCAGAGCCAUGACAUAGAGAUAUGGCAGCGUAGCAAACGG
rnacentral:rRNA from 1 species